CCUGGAGAUCUAAAGCAGAUGAAAAUAAUAAUACAUCCAAUAUUAAAGAUGUAGUAAUUCUUAUAUAAGAAUGAUGACAGUACACCUAUAUAUUCCCAAACCAAAAAUCAGAAACAACUGGAAAUUUAAAAAGUCAAAUGGCUAACCUCCAAUAAUCCUAGGUCAAUAGGUAUAAUUUAUAGUAAUUCAGACUCCUGACUUUAAUUCUAAUCUGUAGGUCAACGUCUGAAAACUAAGGAACUCAAUAAUUAUACACAUGCAAAUAGACCUAGGAAGUUGGUCGAGAACCAAUACAAAUUGUGCACCUUAAGAAAACAUAGGUAGCCUAAAUACUAAAUCCUCAGACCAAAGAGGAACUACCUUAUAAAAGUCUAGGGACACAAAUGAACCCAUCGAGGGGAGUGAAAAAGCUAAUAACCUAAUGUAAAAUGCUCAGAGGACCAUACAAUGUGGCUACAAAUUACUUAAUAUAUUUGUGCAUACUAUACAAAUUAGAUACACUGGCGCUAUGUUGCCACUAUGCCUAUUAAUGGACUGAGCCUGUGGCCAUAAAUAGGCUUAAACUGUAAAAAAUUACAGACAAUUCUCCAAAGUGGGGUCACUAAAUGCACAGCCCUUCUUAACUAAUCAGUCCUCAAGAUAGUCACUCAAUAAACCAGGUUCUGGACCGGUUAGGAGGUAAAGAAUAGCGCGUUUCGGUGCUUCAGUAGUGCACCUUCGUCAGGGGCCCCUGGGCUGUCAGGCAGAUGGUGGAAUGGUGGCGAUCGGGUAAGUAAUAAGGAUGGCGGUGACAUUCUAUGCUUCCCGCCGGCAUUCAGAGCCACCCCAAAAAGGAUGGCACAGAACGCCCGCCGUCCUUAAGGGGUUAAAACUUUCAGGAAAAGGAGUAAGCAACACAACGUUUCUUACACAAAAAUUGUAAACCUGAACUCACAUUCCAUUAUUAGAAAGACUUGCAUAUGGGCCAGACAGCUUGCCAUCAGAGUAACCCGAGAACAUUAAAAAGGAAUACUCCAAUGUAAAAAAGAUUUUAAAAAAUUUAACAAUGCUUAAACAUUUAGUAGAUAAGCCCCCAAUGAAAACAUGCAAGGAUUUAUUGCUGCAUUUUAAUUGUAUUAGAGUUCUAUAAUAAAACACUGCAGAUCUGCUGUAUGUAGCCAUAACAAACCCUCCCCCUUUUCCCCCCAGCACAGAUUGCCAGGAAAAUGAAUCAGAUGCUUCUCAGCCCAAGUCCUCCAGGCUGCCAGACAGAAAAUCUGUGGAGGUCUAAGAUGGGCACUUAGUACUCUGAGCUGAUAGGCUCACUUAUACUUGGGGGAGAAGGCAGGUACACUCUAGCAGAGCAUGCCUGCCACUUCCAUUAGCUUAGUGGACCUAACGAUUUGGAAAGAAAACCUCAGGUAGGUGUUACUGAAGUUAUUUCUAAAAGUGUGGAUUUCAAACAGAAAUAUGCACUUUAAUAAGCUACACACACUCCUCACUUACCAACCAGGUUCAGUUUUUUACGACUUGGUCGGUAAGUGAGAAGUGCAGGUCUAUGUUCGGGAAAAUUUCCCCGAACAUAGACAAGUGCAGCAGAGCAGGGAACCCCUCAAAUCUAUGUUCGGAGAACAUUCCCCGAAUAUAGAUUAGAUGGAUUACCUGCUCUGGUGCGUUUUUGUAUGUUUAGGGAAAUUUCCUCGAACAUAGAUUAGAGGGAGUCCCUGCUCUGGUGCGCUUGUCUAUGUUUGGGGUAUGAUUACCAAAUUAAACAUCACUAUAGGCAAUGCCUGUUCCUCCAAUCACCAACAGUUGGAACAGGUAUGCCUUUAAAGCAUCCACAAAUUGAAAUGGGAGAAAAAAAGACAAAAAAAAAACACAACACUUUUUCCUCCAACUAAAAACAGAAUCGUGAGGUUCCUUGAAAAUAUAUCUUUGAGAAUAAACCCCCCAAAAAAAAAAAAAAAAAAAACAGAACAAGGAAAGAAUAGCCGCAUCUUUUUACCCUUCCCCCUCUGAUCCAAGAGGUACAGAUUGCCUAAAAUGUCAUAUGUUGAGCCGUAUUUCCGAACUCCUUCCAUAAAAACAAGGUGGGUCCAUUUCCUUUUAGAACAAUACUUCAAGAACCUGAGAAACAUCUUAUGUUUAUUUAAGCCGAACACCACGUUUGUCUUGCACUAUUGAACUUUAUAAAUCAAUAGCUGAACUGCAACAUGGAUCAGAUAUUGGAGAACCCGAAAUGCAAUAAACUAAUGUUUAUAUGGGAAAUACAUUCAAUUUGCAAACAAAACACCUUCCAGCUGGAAGACUAAAGUCACAAUCUAAGACUGUAUUAUUAUUCAGGCAAAAAUAUUUUAUGUGCCAUAGCACCACAAACUGAAUGGCAAGAUCUGCUUCUAGUUAAGGUUUUCUAUAUCUGUGACAGAAAAAUAAAUAAAAAUUAACAAUUAAAAAAUGCAUGUUAACAAUACAUCAGCCACUGCCAUUUAAAGGGACACAAACACCAUAAACUAUGCACCUUCCAUGGUCCAUUGGCUAUGUUAUGAAAAUAACAGUGCAAUAGAAGCCCCCCUCUGUGAAUAAAAUGUGUGCAAAAGGUUUAAAUAUUCAUCCCAUAAUGUUCUGUAGAAGCUCAGAAAUCCCCUUAAAAAAAAAAAAAAAGCUAAAACUGUCUGAAUAAUUUCUGCCACUUCCUAAUCAGAGUGCUCAUUGCAUACUUAAAGGACCACUAUAGUGCCAGGAAAAC